rnacentral:rRNA from 1 species
ACGCACGCUGGCGGCGUGCUUAACACCUGCACGUCGCACGGAAAGGCCCUGCUUUUGUGGGGUGCUCGAGUGGCGAACGGGUGAGUAACACGUGAGUAACCUGCCCUUGACUUUGGGAUAACUUCAGGAAACUGGGGCUAAUACCGGAUAGGAGCUCCUGCUGCAUGGUGGGGGUUGGAAAGUUUCGGCGGUUGGGGAUGGACUCGCGGCUUAUCAGCUUGUUGGUGGGGUAGUGGCUUACCAAGGCUUUGACGGGUAGCCGGCCUGAGAGGGUGACCGGCCACAUUGGGACUGAGAUACGGCCCAGACUCCUACGGGAGGCAGCAGUGGGGAAUAUUGCACAAUGGGCGGAAGCCGGAUGCAGCAACGCCGCGUGCGGGAUGACGGCCUUCGGGUGGGAAACCGCUUUCGCCUGUGACGAAGCGUGAGUGACGGUAAUGGGGAAAGAAGCACCGGCUAACUACGU